rnacentral:lncRNA from 1 species
GUAGGGCAGGGGGGAAGGAUAACUCAAGUUUGUUUAUCGAGGUGGCUACUUACUAGGUUGGGUAAUCUUUUUCAGGGUUAUUGGAGUUAUUGCAGUUGGGUACAGACUCAUGCAAUACACUGGUGCUUGGUCGAGAUGAGGUCUUCAGCUAGUUGGGCAUGUUCUAGCACCUCUACAUACGAGUUAAGGCUCAGCAUCGCAACCCGAUCAUAGAUAUCGGCACGAAGGCCUUUCAAAAACUUCCUACCUUUACGAUUUUCAGGGGAUGAUCAUUAGAGGGAUAAACCUAGACAGUUGGACAAAUUGGGCUGUAUAUUGAGAAACCAUCAUAUUUCCUUGACAGAGGUCCUGAAAUUCCUCCUCCUUCUUCUCUCGGACAUAGGCUAGAAAAAAGUUAUCGAAGAACUCUAUAAAAACUUCUCGGGUGGUAGAGGUAGGCAGGACUUCCUUCUCAAGUCACCACC